rnacentral:rRNA from 1 species
CGGAGGAAAAGAAACCAACAGGGAUUGCCUCAGUAACGGCGAGUGAAGCGGCAACAGCUCAAAUUUGAAAUCUGGCCUCUUGGGGUCCGAGUUGUAAUUUGUAGAGGAUGUUUCGGGUACCGCCUCGGUUUAAAUUUCUUGGAACAGAAUGUCAGAGAGGGUGAGAAUCCCGUCUUGAACCGGUGGUAGGGCCUAUGUGAAACUCCUUCGACGAGUCGAGUUGUUUGGGAAUGCAGCUCCAAAUGGGUGGUAAAUUUCAUCUAAAGCUAAAUAUUGGCCAGAGACCGAUAGCGCACAAGUAGAGUGAUCGAAAGAUGAAAAGCACUUUGAAAAGAGAGUUAAACAGUAUGUGAAAUUGUUGAAAGGGAAGCGCUUACAACCAGACUUGAGCGCGGCGGUUCCCCCUUGCUUCUGCUUGGGUUACUCCGCCGUGUCCAGGCCAACAUCGGUUCUGGGGGUCGGUCAAAGGCCCUGGGAAUGUAUCUACCUACGGGUAGACUUAUAGACCAGGGUGUCAUGCGGCCUCCCGGGACCGAGGAACGCGCUCCGGCUCGGAUGUUGGCGUAAUGGUUGUCAGCGACCCGU